rnacentral:tRNA from 1 species
GCCUGGCGGGCUUAGUCGGUGCAGCAUGUGACUCUUGAUCUCAGGGUUGUGAGUUCGAGCCCCACGCUGGGUG